rnacentral:rRNA from 1 species
AUACGUAGGUGGCAAGCGUUGUCCGGAAUUAUUGGGCGUAACGAGCUCGUAGGUGGUUUGUCGCGUCGUCUGUGAAAUUCCGGGGCUUAACUCCGGGCGUGCAGGCGAUACGGGCAUAACUUGAGUACUGUAGGGGAGAAUGGAAGUCCUGGUGUAGCGGUGAAAUGCGCAGAUAUCAGGAGGAACACCGGUGGCGUAGGCGGGUCUCUGGGCAGUAACUGACGCUGAGGAGCGAAAGCAUGGGUAGCGAACAGGAUUAGAUACCCUGGUAGUCCAUGCCGUAAACGGUGGGCGCUAGGUGUAGGGGUCUUCCACGACUUCUGUGCCGUAGCUAACGCAUUAAGCGCCCCGCCUGGGGAGUACGGCCGCAAGGCUAAAACUCAAAUGAAUUGACGGGG